GAAACCCAGUGUGAUUCGUCACACUAUCAUUAACUGAAUCCAUAGGUUAAUGAGGCGAACCGGGGGAACUGAAACAUCUAAGUACCCCGAGGAAAAGAAAUCAACCGAGAUUCCCCCAGUAGCGGCGAGCGAACGGGGAGGAGCCCAGAGCCUGAAUCAGCAUGUGUGUUAGUGGAAGCGUCUGGAAAGGCGCGCGAUACAGGGUGACAGCCCCGUACACAAAAGCGCAUGUGCUGUGAGCUCGAUGAGUAGGGCGGGACACGUGGUAUCCUGUCUGAAUAUGGGGGGACCAUCCUCCAAGGCUAAAUACUCCUGACUGACCGAUAGUGAACCAGUACCGUGAGGGAAAGGCGAAAAGAACCCCGGCGAGGGGAGUGAAAAAGAACCUGAAACCGUGUACGUACAAGCAGUGGGAGCACAGGUUUACCUGUGUGACUGCGUACCUUUUGUAUAAUGGGUCAGCGACUUAU
rnacentral:rRNA from 1 species